rnacentral:rRNA from 1 species
AUACGUAGGUGACAAGCGUUAUCCGGAUUUACUGGGCGUAAAGGGCGUGUAGGCGGUCUUGCAAGUCAGAAGUGAAAUUCCUGAGCUCAACUCGGGCGCUGCUUCUGAAACUGCAGGACUUGAGUGCUGGAGGGGAUAGCGGAAUUCCUAGUGGAGCGGUAAAAUGCGCAGAUAUUAGGAAGAACACCGGUGGCGAAGGCGGCUAACUGGACAGUAACUGACGCUGAGGGGCGAAAGGGUGGAGAGCAAAAAGGAUUAGAUACCCUGUUAGUCCACGCCGUAAACGAUGAAUACUAGGUGUAGGGGGUAUCGACUCCCUCUGUGCCGCAGUUAACACAAUAAGCAUUCCGCCUGGGGAGUACGGCCGCAAGGUUGAAACUCAAAUGAAUUGGCGGGG